UCUUUCCUGCAUGAAAAUGUUCUCAUGCUGUUUUCCCAGUUUCUGGAGAAAUAGGCACCAGAACACCCCCGAACAGAGUCCUGAAAGAAAUUGCUUUUUAAAUUGGAUAUUAUGUCCACCUUGCUGUGCCUGCACUCAGGCAGAGGAGGAGGAGGAGGAGGUGUGUGUACCCUCCAGCCUGUGUGUGGAGCAACCGAAGGCAGUUGCUCAGGCCAAGGGUGAGCCCAGAGCUUAUGUGGAGCAGCUGGCUGGCCAGGAGGCCCCCAGGCUCCAAGAGGUGGAGCAGCUGAAGCCAAAGGAGGAGGAGGAG